UCUCCGCCGAAAGCUUGAAGCUCCUCCAAUGGCGAUUUUGGCCUGAAGAAUUGGAGAUUUGUUCUUACUCUACGACAUCGUCGGACGCUCUUCUUCUUCUUCCACCAUCAAUUUCAUCAACAUCUCACGUUUCUAAGAAGGUAUGUCUGAGGAGUUACCAAAGCG